rnacentral:rRNA from 1 species
GACGAACGCUGGCGGCGUGCUUAACACAUGCAAGUCGAACGAAGUGGCGAACGGGUGAGUAAUACGUGGGUAACCUGCCCUCCUUUUUGGGAUAAGCCUUGGAAACGGGGUCUAAUACCGAAUAAAGGGGGAUGGGAUCGCGGCCGAUCAGCUUGUUGGUGGGGUACUGGCCUACCAAGGCGGUGACGGGUAGCCGGCCUGAGAGGGUGACCGGCCACACUGGGACUGAGAGACGGCCCAGACUCCUACGGGAGGCAGCAGUGGGUGAUAUUGCACAAUGGGCGAAAUCCUGAUGCAGCGACGCCGCGUGUAUGAAGAAGGCCUUCGGGUUGUAAAGUUCUUUCAGCGAGGAGGCGUUACUCGCAGAGGAAGCACCGGCUAACUCCGUGCCAGCCGCCGCGGUAAUAG